rnacentral:rRNA from 1 species
CAGCCGCCGCGGGAAUACAGAGGGUGCGAGCGUUAAUCGGAUUUACUGGGCGUAAAGCGUGCGUAGGCGGCUUCUUAAGUCGGAUGUAAAAUCCCUGAGCUUAACUUAGGAAUUGCAUUCGAUACUGGGAAGCUAGAGUAUGGGAGAGGAUGGUAGAAUUCCAGGUGUAGCGGUGAAAUGCGUAGAGAUCUGGAGGAAUACCGAUGGCGAAGGCAGCCAUCUGGCCUAAUACUGACGCUGAGGUACGAAAGCAUGGGGAGCAAACAGGAUUAGAUACCCGCGUAGUCCCUGUCUCUUAUAA